CUUUCUCCGCCGGCGACCGGCGCACGGGUGAGUAACACGUAUGCAACCUGCCCCUGUCAGGGGGACAACCCGCCGAAAGGCGGGCUAAACCCGCGUACAUGCCACCGGGGCAUCCCGGAGGCAGGAAAGGCUGCGGCCGGACAGGGAUGGGCAUGCGGCGCAUUAGGCAGUAGGCGGGGUAACGGCCCACCUAACCGACGAUGCGUAGGGGUUCUGAGAGGAAGGUCCCCCACACUGGUACUGAGACACGGACCAGACUCCUACGGGAGGCAGCAG
rnacentral:rRNA from 1 species